rnacentral:misc_RNA from 1 species
AAGACUAUAGACCUGCGGAGUACCUGCGGAAGGAUCAUUAACGUGCCAGCUGGGUGGUUCCCCGGGUGUUCCCUAAAAGACGCCCGGCGCUUUCCCGCUACAAGGCCCCACACUUGUCUACCUACCACGUUGUCUCGGCGGGCCGGGGGGCUUCUGUCCCCCGACCAACGCCCGCCGGGAACCCCUAAACCACUGUCAUUAGCGAUUGCAGUCUGAGCGAUUAUUGAAUAAAUCAAAACU